CGGGAAACUGGGGAUAAUACCCCAUAGGCUACAAAUGCUGGAAUGCCUUGUAGCCGAAAGGUCCGCCGCCUUAGGAUGGGUCUGCGGCCGAUUAGGUUGUUGUUGGGGUAACGGCCCAACAAGCCUGUAAUCGGUACGGGUUGUGGGAGCAAGAACCCGGAGAUGGAUUCUGAGACACGAAUCCAGGCCCUACGGGGCGCAGCAGGCGCGAAAACUUUGCAAUGCGGGAAACCGUGACAAGGGAACCCCGAGUGCCCGUAAAAUCGGGCUGUUCCGGUGUACAAAAAGCACCGGGAGAAAGGGCCGGGCAAGACCGGUGCCAGCCGCCGCGGUAACA
rnacentral:rRNA from 1 species